rnacentral:rRNA from 1 species
AGAGUUUGAUCCUGGCUCACGAUGAACGCUAGCGGCAGGCUUAACACAUGCAAGUCGAGGGGCAGCACGUCUUCGGAUGGUGGCGACCGGCGCACGGGUGCGUAACGCGUAUACAAUCUACCUUUUACAGAGAGAUACCCCAGAGAAAUUUGGAAUAAUACCUCAUAAUAUUGUUAAUUGGCAUCAAUUGACAAUUAAAGUUUCGGCGGUAAGAGAUGAGUAUGCGUCCUAUUAGCUAGUUGGUAAGGUAACGGCUUACCAAGGCGACGAUAGGUAGGGGUCCUGAGAGGGAGAUCCCCCACACUGGUACUGAGACACGGACCAGACUCCUACGGGAGGCAGCAGUGAGGAAUAUUGGUCAAUGGGCGAAAGCCUGAACCAGCCAUGCCGCGUGCAGGAAGACUGCCCUAUGGGUUGUAAACUGCUUUUAUACAGGAAGAAACACUCGGACGUGUCCGAGCUUGACGGUACUGUAUGAAUAAGCACCGGCUAACUCCGUGCCAGCAGCCGCGGUAAUACGGAGGGCGCAAGCGUUAUCCGGAAUCAUUGGGUUUAAAGGGUCCGUAGGCGGAUUAAUAAGUCAGGGGUGAAAUCCCACAGCUUAACUGUGGAACUGCCUUUGAUACUGUUAGUCUUGAGUUAUAUGGAAGUAGAUAGAAUGUGUAGUGUAGGACUGA